rnacentral:rRNA from 1 species
CAGCAGCCGCGGUAAUACGAAGGGGGCUAGCGUUGUUCGGAUUUACUGGGCGUAAAGCGCACGUAGGCGGACUUUUAAGUCGGGGGUGAAAUCCCGGGGCUCAACCCCGGAACUGCCUUUGAUACUGGAAGUCUUGAGUAUGGUAGAGGUGAGUGGAAUUCCGAGUGUAGAGGUGAAAUCCGUAGAUAUUCGGAGGAACACCAGUGGCGAAGGCGGCUCACUGGACCAUUACUGACGCUGAGGUGCGAAAGCGUGGGGAGCAAACAGGAUUAGAUACCCCCGUAGUCCCUGUCUCUUAUAC